rnacentral:rRNA from 1 species
AGAGUUUGAUCCUGGCUCAGAACGAACGCUGGCGGCAGGCCUCAAACAUGCAAGUCUAGGGGGUGUAGCAAUACAUCACCGGCGGACGGGUGCGUAACGCGUGGGAAUAUACCUUUUGGUUCGGAACAACUGAGGGAAACUUCAGCUAAUACCGAAUGUGCCCUAACGGGGAAAGAUUUAUCGCCAAAGGAUUAGCCCGCGUAGGAUUAGCUAGUUGGUGAGGUAAUGGCUCACCAAGGCUCCGAUCCUUAGCUGUUCUGAGAGGAAGAUCAGCCACACUGGGACUGAGACACGGCCCAGACUCCUACGGGAGGCAGCAGUAGGGAAUCUCGGACAAUGGGGGAAACCCUGAUCCAGCCAUGCCGCGUGAGUGAUGAAGGCCUUCGGGUUGUAAAACUCUUCGACGGGACGAUAAUGACGGUACCCCUAGAAGAGUCCCU